GCACGAUUAGCUCAGUUGGUAGAGCAUAGACUUGAUAAGUCUGUGGCCGGUUGUUCGAGUCACCCAUCGUGUACCA
rnacentral:tRNA from 1 species